rnacentral:rRNA from 1 species
AGCUGAUCCAGCAUGCCGCGUGUGUGAAGAAGGCCUUCGGGUUGUAAAGCACUUUUGUCCGGAAAGAAAUCCUUGGCUCUAAUACAGUCGGGGGAUGACGGUACCGGAAGAAUAAGCACCGGCUAACUACGUGCCAGCAGCCGCGGUAAUACGUAGGGUGCGAGCGUUAAUCGGAAUUACUGGGCGUAAAGCGUGCGCAGGCGGUUUGCUAAGACCGAUGUGAAAUCCCCGGGCUCAACCUGGGAACUGCAUUGGUGACUGGCAGGCUAGAGUAUGGCAGAGGGGGGUAGAAUUCCACGUGUAGCAGUGAAAUGCGUAGAGAUGUGGAGGAAUACCGAUGGCGAAGGCAGCCCCCUGGGCCAAUACUGACGCUCAUGCACGAAAGCGUGGGGAGCAAACAGGAUUAGAUACCCCAGUAGUCA